UCUGGUAGGAAAUCCGCGCUCUGAGCUCGCAAGAUUUACUAUCCAGAGACUGUACAUUAGCAAGUAAGCGGAGAGAGGUUUACCCGUUUCCUUCAUUCUACUAGUUCUCCAGCUCGUCUUUCCCUUCUCCAGUGGCAUCUUUUUUGGAAAAAGGGCUCACGUGAUGAAUGGAACUGCUUCGGGUAACCCAGACAAAGGAUCAAGCUCCGGGAGAGUCAAAUUUGUGAGUGCAACGGAGGCAAGCCGGGGAUCAUUUCAAUUUGUAUCGGUCCCAAUCAGGGCUGAACCUUUCUGGAUGGUCGGCCACUUUGUUGGUUAUUGAUUACCGUGCUAACGGGACCGUUGCCGAGCGGUGCGGGGAGCCGACGUGAUUGGAGGGCAAAACAACAGAAGCUAAAAAGCUGCAUUGUCAUGGGAGAGGGUUGUUAGGAACUGCAAACAAGGCCUGGCUACACUAUGAUACCAGCCCUGCAUACAUUGUCAACGUGGGGUAUGAAGAGAUGUUCAGUAGAGCAGUUCGGGACAUGGAACUGUCACAGUGUGGUCCGAGUCCCAGUCGUCUCUUUGCUGAUUCAAUGAAGUGACUUCAACCAGAGACGAGUACUGAGGGGAACAGGGUCCGCUUCAGAGCCAGAGUGAGAUGCUAACCAUGGGUCAGUAGCCAUGAUAACUUUCCUUUGUUUGUCCCGUCACUGUCUGUACUACAUCCCCUAGAAUACUCCAUUGUCCCCCCAUUCUCCAGAGGCAUGGCGCGAUUUUCGGCCCUGCUACCCACCUCACCUAGCCUAACCUAGCGUCCCUGUUGCCUAUACAUCUUACCACUCCUGAUUGACAAUAGUCUCAGAGUGGGACUUCACAGAGAGAAGCCAUUAAGAAAGGGUUGAGAAAGGGCCUCGUUCAACCAGCACCACUGGUCUUCUGAACUCAACAAAGACUGUGUGUCUAUGACGUUUCAACGCUUUUAUGUCGUCAAACUAGGUAGGCCUAUGACACAAAGACACAUGCACGCACGCACACAACACACAGACACACACACACAAAUAAACACUCAUAUAGUACAUGCCUACACACUUGUUCCGUUUCGUCUAUCCCUUUAUUAGACGUAAAAAAAGAAAAAACUUUUACUAAGGAUCAACAAAGAGGUUCUUUUGAAGGUCUCUCUACUGUUCCUGCUGAUUGAAUGUUUACCACACUUUAAUAUGUAACCUUGAUGAUUUCUCCCAUUCACUUUCAAGAUGUUGACCAAGGCUGCGCCUGGAAGUUGAUACUAUACUAUUCUUUCUAACAUGACAAGUAUGAUUACCGGAACAAUUUCCUCUCAUUCUUAUCUACUCUCUACUCUCUUCUUUCUUUCUGUUUCUGUAUUCAGAAAUAUAUAUAUAUUUUUUCAAUGAUUAUUAUUAUUAUUGCUAUUAUUUAUUGCUAUUUCUUGUUUAAAAUACUACUACAGUCUGUUUUAUGAAAAAUAAACAAAAUGUGGCAUAAA